GCACAUUGAUAUAUUUAUUAAAUUUGUAAUGAAUUUGAGUGUUUUGUUACUCUUAAAUUUGAAGAAUUUAAUGGAUAUUCAUGGUAUUAUGAAAGUUGGGUUUUCAACAAAUGCAUAUGUUAUAUCGAAGAGAAAUGUUUUGAUCUUCUUAGAAAACAGAACAUCACAUGCUCUAGAAUUAAAUAACAACAACCUUAUACUCAAAAGUAAACUAAAUAUGACAAAUCUGACGAUGGCAUGUGUUCUUAUCGUCGUCUUUACCCGCCAACAGCUAAGGUGGCUCCAACGGCCAUAGCAAUAAGCUCCUCCAUCUUUAGUGUCAUCAACAUGACAGUCUUCGACACAUUGUCUGUAUUUUUACCGAUCAAUUUCUUCAUCAUCGUUGUGCCGUCGGUACAAACCAUGACGUCAUAGUUGGCAAAGUCCGGCGAAUCCUUGAGUUCAAGUUUAGCACUUUUGAGAGAUAUGCUAAUCCCUCUGAAGGCAUUCUGAAUCGUCGCAAAAUCCCUCUUCAA
rnacentral:lncRNA from 1 species